rnacentral:rRNA from 1 species
GACAGAGGGUGCAAACGUUGUUCGGAAUUACUGGGCGUAAAGCGCGUGUAGGCGGCCCUGUAAGUCGGGUGUGAAAUCCCACGGCUCAACCGUGGAAGUGCACCCGAAACUGCGUAGCUAGAGUCUCGGAGAGGAAGGCGGAAUGCUUGGUGUAGAGGUGAAAUUCGUAGAUAUCAAGCGGAACACCGGUGGCGAAGGCGGCCUUCUGGACGAUGACUGACGCUGAGACGCGAAAGCGUGGGGAGCAAACAGG